CUCAGCGCAAUGGAUGAUAGCGCGUUGGACUUCCAAUAUAAAAGUCGUGGGUUUGAAUCCCACCAGGGAGG